CCUACGGGAGGCAGCAGUGAGGAAUAUUGGUCAAUGGCCGUAAGGCUGAACCAGCCAAGUAGCGUGAGGGAAGACUGCCCUAUGGGUUGUAAACCUCUUUUAUGCGGGGAUAAAGGUGUCCACGUGUGGCGUUUUGCGAGUACCUGAAGAAAAAGCAUCGGCUAACUCCGUGCCAGCAGCCGCGGUAAUACGGAGGAUGCGAGCGUUAUCCGGAUUUAUUGGGUUUAAAGGGUGCGCAGGCGGAAUGUCAAGUCAGCGGUAAAAUUUCGGGGCUCAACCCCGUCGUGCCGUUGAAACUGGCGUUCUUGAGUGAGCGAGAAGUAUGCGGAAGGCGUGGUGUAGCGGUGAAAUGCAUAGAUAUCACGCAGAACUCCGAUUGCGAAGGCAGCAUACCGGCGCUCAACUGACGCUCAUGCACGAAAGCGUGGGUAUCGAACAGGAUUAGAUACCCGUGUAGUC
rnacentral:rRNA from 1 species